rnacentral:rRNA from 1 species
GACGAACGCUGGCGGCGUGCCUAAUACAUGCAAGUUGAGCGAUGAAGAUUGGUGCUUGCACCAAUUUGAAGAGCAGCGAACGGGUGAGUAACGCGUGGGGAAUCUGCCUUUGAGCGGGGGACAACAUUUGGAAACGAAUGCUAAUACCGCAUAACAACUUUAAACAUAAGUUUUAAGUUUGAAAGAUGCAAUUGCAUCACUCAAAGAUGAUCCCGCGUUGUAUUAGCUAGUUGGUGAGGUAAAGGCUCACCAAGGCGAUGAUACAUAGCCGACCUGAGAGGGUGAUCGGCCACAUUGGGACUGGGACACGGCCCAAACUCCUACGGGAGGCAGCAGUAGGGAAUCUUCGGCAAUGGACGAAAGUCUGACCGAGCAACGCCGCGGGAGUGAAGAAGGUUUUCGGAUCGUAAAACUCUGUUGGUAGAGAAGAACGUUGGUGAGAGUGGAAAGCUCAUCAAGUGACGGUAACUACCCAGAAAGGGACGGCUAACUACGUG